AUUGAACGCUGGCGGAAUGCUUUACACAUGCAAGUCGAACGGCAGCACGGACUUCGGUCUGGUGGCGAGUGGCGAACGGGUGAGUAAUAUAUCGGAACGUAUCCAAUAAUGGGGGAUAACUAAUCGAAAGGUUGGCUAAUACCGCAUACGUCCUACGGGAGAAAGCUAGGGACCUUCGGGCCUGGCGUUAAUGGUGCGGCCGAUAUCUGAUUAGCUAGUUGGUGAGGUAAAGGCUCACCAAGGCGACGAUCAGUAGCUGGUCUGAGAGGACGACCAGCCACACUGGAACUGAGACACGGUCCAGACUCCUACGGGAGGCAGCAGUGGGGAAUUUUGGACAAUGGGCGCAAGCCUGAUCCAGCCAUUCCGCGUGAGUGAAGAAGGCCUUCGGGUUGUAAAGCUCUUUCGCAAGGGAAGAAAACUUAUCCUCUAACAUAGGAUGAGGUUGACGGUACCUUGAUAAGAAGCACCGGCUAACUACGUGCCAGCCGCCGCCGUAACAC
rnacentral:rRNA from 1 species